rnacentral:rRNA from 1 species
UCGGGAAUCUUGCACAAUGGGCGAAAGCCUGAUGCAGCAACGCCGUGUGAGCGAGGAAGGUCUUCGGAUCGUAAAGCUCUGUUGUUGGGGACGAAGGGCGAAGGGUUAAUAGCCCCUAGCCUGACGGUACCCUUCGAGGAAGCCCCGGCUAACUACGUGCCAGCAGCCGCGGUAAUACGUAGGGGCCUAGCGUUGUCCGGAAUUAUUGGGCGUAAAGAGCUCGUAGGCGGCCCACCAAGUCGGAUGUGAAAUCUCAAGGCUUAACCUUGAAAUUGCAUCCGAUACUGAUGGGCUUGAGGCAGGUAGGGGAAGGUGGAAUUCCUGGUGUAGCGGUGAAAUGCGCAGAUAUCAGGAGGAACACCGGUGGCGAAGGCGGCCUUCUGGGCCUGUACUGACGCUGAGGAGCGAAAGCGUGGGGAGCAAACAGGAUUAGAUACCCCCGUAGUCC